AAAAAAAAAGGAAAAACUUCAAAUACCACGAGGUGGUUUCGCACUUUCUCACUAUAGUACUCUAUGGUUUAAUAUUUCGUUAAAUUAUAUACAAAAAACUUCAUAUAUCUUACCUAAGUUUAUCGAAUAUUCAUUUUAGUACCUUUAGUUUUAACUUUGUCACUGAUCUAACAAAAAAACACUCCGAAAUGAAUAAUAAAAAGAAAUAAAAUGAAACAACAGAGUACUAACUUGAUACAAAAAUGAAACCAUAUAGUACUAACUUGAUGCACUUUAAAUCACAAGGGUACUAAAAUGAGGAAGUGCGGAACCACAGAAGAGGUUUUUGAAAUUUUCCCAAAAAAAAAAAAAAAAGAAUAGAGGAGGUUGGAAUGAGAAGCGAGCCACGGAUUCCGAGCAAUUUAUUAAUUAAUUAAUUUUGUGGGUGUUUUUGGGCGAAAUUGGGACGGGGAAUCUGUGGGUGAUGACGGGGCUACACGUGUGCGCCACCCCACGUGCCACUCACGGGACCCGCACGUGCUCGUCCUACUUCAACCCGUGUCUUAAAUAUUUCCUCCAUAAAAAAUUUUAAGUAAUAUUUAUUUUGCACCAUAUUUUCGCCUUAUUCUGUGUUAAUUAAUCCGUGAAUUAUUCGUGAAUCUAAAUUAAACAGUUUGUUUACGAAUUUUUUUUUUAAAGAAAAAAAAUUAUUUGUAAAUUUUUUAGCCAGUCGAAUAAUUUACGAAUUAUUAAAAAUUUGACUAAAAAUUUAUAAUUUUGAUGUUUAAAUAUAGAUUAUCUUAUAUUUUAUAUUUUACAUCGAAUCUAUUUUUUAAGUCGAAUUUUUUAACGAAUUUAAAAAUUGGAAAAUAAAUUUUAUGCGUAUUAUAUUUAUACCGAAUUUUUGCUGAAUCCAAACUAACUAACUACGGUCCUAGUU
rnacentral:lncRNA from 1 species